AGUGAACGCUGGCGGUAGGCCUAACACAUGCAAGUCGAACGGCAGCACAGUAAGAGCUUGCUCUUACGGGUGGCGAGUGGCGGACGGGUGAGGAAUACAUCGGAAUCUACUUUUUCGUGGGGGAUAACGUAGGGAAACUUACGCUAAUACCGCAUACGACCUACGGGUGAAAGCAGGGGAUCUUCGGACCUUGCGCGAUUGAAUGAGCCGAUGUCGGAUUAGCUAGUUGGCGGGGUAAAGGCCCACCAAGGCGACGAUCCGUAGCUGGUCUGAGAGGAUGGGAGGCCACGCGGGAAAUGAGACCCGGUCCAGACUCCUACGGGAGGAAGCAGGAGGGAAUCUUGAGAAAGGGGCGACAGCCUGACGGAGCAAUGCCGCGUGAGUGAUGAAGGCCUUCGUAUCUUCAAACUAUGUUACUAGGGAAGACCAAAUGUGUAAGGAACUAUGCACGUCUUGACGGUACCUAAUCAGAAAGCCACGGCUAACUACGUG
rnacentral:rRNA from 1 species